rnacentral:rRNA from 1 species
GACGAACGCUGGCGGCGUGCUUAACACAUGCAAGUCGAACGGAAAGGCCCUGCUUUUGUGCUGUUCCCGAGUGCCGAUCGCGUGAGUAACACGUGAGUAACCUGCCCUAGUCUUUGGGAUAACUUCAGGAAACUGGGGCUAAUACCGGAUAGCAUCUCCUGCUCCAUGGUGGGCAUUGGAAAGUUUCGGCGUGUGGGGAUGGACUAGCGGCUUAUCAGCUUGUUGGUUGGGUAGUGGAUGACCAAGGGUUUGACGGGUAGCCGGCCUGAGAGGGGGACCGGCGACAUGAGGACUGAGAGACGGCGCAGACGGCAACGGGAGGCAACGGUGGGGAGUAUUGCACAAUGGGCGGAAGCCUGAUGAGGCGGCGCCGCGUGCGGGAUGACGGCCUUCGGGUUGUAAACCGCUUUCGCCUGUGACGAAGCGUGAGUGACGGUAAUGGGUAAAGAAGCACCGGCUAACUACGUG